UACGUAGGGUGCGAGCGUUGUCCGGAAUUAUUGGGCGUAAAGAGCUCGUAGGCGGUCUGUCGCGUCGGUCGUGAAAACUUGGGGCUUAACCCUGAGCUUGCGGUCGAUACGGGCAUGACUGGAGUUCGGUAGGGGAGACUGGAAUUCCUGGUGUAGCGGUGAAAUGCGCAGAUAUCAGGAGGAACACCGAUGGCGAAGGCAGAUCUCUGGGCCGUAACUGACGCUGAGGAGCGAAAGCAUGGGGAGCGAACAGG
rnacentral:rRNA from 1 species